UUAACUCGAAUUUGUAUGGAGUUGGAACGUUUGCCUACGUUUGCCGCUAGGGGCGCUGUUCCAACUUCAUACAAAUUUUAAGCUA
rfam:Bombyx mori DNA, contig: Bm_scaf35_contig20974, strain: p50T/Dazao, build 2, whole genome shotgun sequence.